rnacentral:lncRNA from 1 species
CGGUUCUAUUAUAUUACAUUCCAUUUGACAAUACUAUUUUAGCAUGUUCCAUUCCACUUGACGAUUACUAAAGAGUGUUCUAUUUUGUUUAAAAAUAUAGUUUGUAAUUUUCUUAAGUUGAUAUUUGGGUUUAGGGUUUAUAUGUGGGUUUAGGGUUUAGUAUUUAGUAUUUAGAAGGUGAGGGGGUAUGGUUGGGGUCAGCAUUAACUUAUUCCAUGGAAUCAUAGACAUUUCAUAAUUUCAUCAAUAUAUACUAUGCUAUUUAUUUUGUUCCAUUCUAUUUGAGUUUGGUUUAUACGUGGGUUUAUGGUUUAUUUGGGUUUAUAGUUUAUAUUUGGGUUUAUGGUUUAUACUUGGGUUUAGGGUUUAUUGAUUAGGGUUUUAGGUUUAGUAUUUAGGAGCUGGGAUAAAGUUUAGUACAUAGGGGUUAGCUAGAUUCAUAUACUACUUGAGUGAUACGGAAUACACUCUUUAUUAAAAAAAGUUUCUAUUUAUACGAGGUAAGGAAGUGUUUGACGUAGCUGAUUUACGUAAGGUGAAAU